CGUGCUUAACACAUGCAAGUCGAACGAAGCACCUCUAAUCGAAGAUUGAGAAAGCUUGCUUUGAUUGAUUCACCUUGAGGUGACUGAGUGGCGGACGGGUGAGUAACGCGUGGGUAACCUACCCUAUACAGGGGGAUAACAGUUGGAAACGACUGCUAAUACCGCAUAAGCGCACAGGACCGCAUGGUCUAGUGUGAAAAACUCCGGUGGUAUAGGAUGGACCCGCGUCUGAUUAGCUAGUUGGUGAGGUAACGGCUCACCAAGGCGACGAUCAGUAGCCGACCUGAGAGGGUGACCGGCCACAUUGGGACUGAGACACGGCCCAAACUCCUACGGGAGGCAGCAGUGGGGAAUAUUGCACAAUGGGCGAAAGCCUGAUGCAGCGACGCCGCGUGAACGAAGAAGUAUUUCGGUAUGUAAAGUUCUAUCAGCAGGGAAGAAAAAUGACGGUACCUGACUAAGAAGCUCCGGCUAAAUACGUGCCAGCCGCUGC
rnacentral:rRNA from 1 species